rfam:Verrucomicrobia bacterium CG1_02_43_26 cg1_0.2_scaffold_11559_c, whole genome shotgun sequence.
GCGGAUGUAGCUCAGUUGGUAGAGCACGACCUUGCCAAGGUCGGGGUCGCGAGUUCGAGUCUCGUCAUCCGCU